rnacentral:rRNA from 1 species
UACAGAGGUCCCAAGCGUUGUUCGGAUUUAUUGGGCGUAAAGAGCUCGUAGGCGGCUUGUCGCGUCGUCCGUGAAAACCUGCAGCUCAACUGCAGGCUUGCGGUCGAUACGGGCAGGCUAGAGUUCGGUAGGGGAGACUGGAAUUCCUGGUGUAGCGGUGAAAUGCGCAGAUAUCAGGAGGAACACCGAUGGCGAAGGCAGGUCUCUGGGCCACUACUGACGCUGAGAAGCGAAAGCGUGGGGAGCGAACAGG